rnacentral:lncRNA from 1 species
CCAGUUCAUUCCUCUGCAGCCUGAAGGCCAGACCUAUACCCAUCUCUGCAAGCCCAGAAGCAGAGACCAGAGGUGGCUUCCUGCUUUCUCAGCAUGUCACACCUGGCCCAAGACCUCUGACCAGCCACCUUGCUGGAAGUCCUAGAAGAGGAGUGUCCAGGCUCCUGGCUGAGCUGCUGCCCUGGCCAUUGUGAGCUGUGUGGCCUUAGACCAAGUGUAUGGAGGCAGCGGCCAUGGAGCGUCGGCUGUGGAUCCCACCCUGCAGGUUAGGGCAGGUUGUGGGUGGAGUCCAGCCCCAAACUCAGGCCCAGGACAUGCAGCUGCUUGAGGUGGACGAGAGGUCAGGACUCAGGUUCCUGAGAGAGGGGAGGAAACCCCUGCUCCUCACAAAGCCUGUUUCCCCAACUGCACGAGGAGCAGGCUGGAGAGACAGCUCAUCAGCUUCUUCCCGU